GACGAACGCUGGCGGCGUGCUUAACACAUGCAAGUCGAACGGAAAGGCCCUGCUUUUGCGGGGUGCUCGAGUGGCGAACGGGUGAGUAACACGUGAGUAACCUGCCCUUGACUUUGGGAUAACUUCAGGAAACUGGGGCUAAUACCGGAUAGGAGCUCCUGCUGCAUGGUGGGGGUUGGAAAGUUUCGGCGGUUGGGGAUGGACUCGCGGCUUAUCAGCUUGUUGGUGGGGUAGUGGCUUACCAAGGCUUUGACGGGUAGCCGGCCUGAGAGGGUGACCGGCCACAUUGGGACUGAGAUACGGCCCAGACUCCUACGGGAGGCAGCAGUGGGGAAUAUUGCACAAUGGGCGGAAGCCUGAUGCAGCAACGCCGCGUGCGGGAUGACGGCCUUCGGGUUGUAAACCGCUUUCGCCUGUGACGAAGCGUGAGUGACGGUAAUGGGUAAAGAAGCACCGGCUAACUACGUGCCAGCAGCCGCGGUGAUACGUAGGGUGCGAGCGUUGUCCGGAUUUAUUGGGCGUAAAGGGCUCGUAGGUGGUUGAUCGCGUCGGAAGUGUAAUCUUGGGGCUUAACCCUGAGCGUGCUUUCGAUACGGGUUGACUUGAGGAAGGUAGGGGAGAAUGGAAUUCCUGGUGGAGCGGUGGAAUGCGCAGAUAUCAGGAGGAACACCAGUGGCGAAGGCGGUUCUCUGGGCCUUUCCUGACGCUGAGGAGCGAAAGCGUGGGGAGCGAACAGGCUUAGAUACCCUGGUAGUCCACGCUGUAAACGGUGGGUACUAGGUGUGGGGUCCAUUCCACGGGUUCCGUGCCGUAGCUAACGCUUUAAGUACCCCGCCUGGGGAGUACGGCCGCAAGGCUAAAACUCAAAGGAAUUGACGGGGCCCCGCACAAGCGGCGGAGCAUGCGGAUUAAUUCGAUGCAACGCGUAGAACCUUACCUGGGUUUGACAUGGAUCGGGAGUGCUCAGAGAUGGGUGUGCCUCCUUUGGGGUCGGUUCACAGGUGGUGCAUGCCUGUCGUCAGCUCGUGUCGUGAGAUGUUGGGUUAAGUCCCGCAACGAGCGCAACCCUUGUUCACUGUUGCCAGCACGUUAUGGUGGGGACUCAGUGGAGACCGCCGGGGUCAACUCGGAGGAAGGUGGGGAUGACGUCAAGUCCUCAUGCCCCUUAUGUCCAGGGCUUCACGCAUGCUACAAUGGCUGGUACAGAGAGUGGCGAGCCUGUGAGGGUGAGCGAAUCUCGGAAAGCCGGUCUCAGUUCGGAUUGGGGUCUGCAACUCGACCUCAUGAAGUCGGAGUCGCUAGUAAUCGCAGAUCAGCAACGCUGCGGUGAAUACGUUCCCGGG
rnacentral:rRNA from 1 species